AGCGAACGCUGGCGGCGCGCCUAAUACAUGCAAGUCGAGCGAGAAGACGUAGCAAUACGUUUGUAAAGCGGCGAACGGGUGAGGAAUACAUGGGUAACCUACCCUCGAGUGGGGAAUAACUAGCCGAAAGGGACGCUAAUACCGCAUAACAUCCUGCCUUUGAAGAGGUGGAGAUCAAAGCUGGGGACCGCAAGGCCUGGCGCUGGAAGAGGGGCCCGCGUCUGAUUAGCUAGUUGGUGAGGUAACGGCUCACCAAGGCAACGAUCAGUAUCCGGCCUGAGAGGGCGGACGGACACACUGGGACUGAGACACGGCCCAGACUCCUACGGGAGGCAGCAGUGGGGAAUUGUUCGCAAUGGGCGCAAGCCUGACGACGCAACGCCGCGUGGAGGAUGAAGACCUGGUCGUAAC
rnacentral:rRNA from 1 species